GACAGAGGUCCCGAGCGUUAGGCGGAAUCACUGGGCUUAAAGCGUGUGUAGGCGGAUCGUUAAGUGCCUUGUGAAAUCCCACGGCUCAACCGUGGAACUGCUUGGUAUACUGGUUGUCUUGGGCCAUCUAGGGGCUACUGGAACAAACGGUGGAGCGGUGAAAUGCGUAGAUAUCGUUUGGAACGCCAAUGGUGAAAACAAGUAGCUGGGGAUGUGCCGACGCUGAGACACGAAAGCCAGGGGAGCGAACGGG
rnacentral:rRNA from 1 species